AACCAUUGGUCAAAAGAAGGAUACAACACAGAUGUUUCCUGCCUAAGAGCUAAUAAAACACUAAAUUGUUUCAUUCAAUUCUUCUUCUUCGCACAGUGCAUUUUCCAUUUGGUAGGGUUUGUUCAUACUAGUUUGUUCACCUGUCUUUACUAAACAAUGGCACAUUCCGGUCAUUUCAUUGCUGACAAAGGGCAGAUCACAUCACACCUGAUAGGGGGUGUUCCUGUCAAGGUGUGCACAUAACGACCAGACACUCAAUUUUCAGUCAAAAUGACACAUUUCUGAUGUUUCUUUGUAUCACAGAAAAGGGACGUACAUGUGCAGUUAGUUAGUAUGUCUUGGAACAUCUCUCUUGUCAUGACAUGUGUUCCGGCCUGACCAACUUAACCACAGAUCACUGGGACCAUCAAAGCCAAGGUUUCAAAGGAGACACGGCCACCAGGGAGCGAAGGUCAAGGAAGAUCUCAUUCUGUCCUGUCAUCCACCAUGAAAUCUGUGUGGCCCCACUGCCACAGCAGCAUGCAUGAGUGGACAACAGCUAUCUUGUGGUCACUCUGGUGGCCUGGGAUGUUCUGUUUGUAAUUGUCAUGGUGUAAUGAGCUUCAAGGGCAGGUUCAACCACAGCUGUGGACAAUUACAGAGUCAUGACCCUACCCACUCCUAUGUCCACUCCUGUGUCUCCACACCUCAACUUUAAUCAGAGUCAGGGCUACCUUCAUACCAGGACAUUGUAGAAGACAGCCAGGUCAAUUGAGGAUGACCUUAUAGCUGGACUCUGACCUCAAGGCAUCUCCUCAAGAAAUAGAAGCCCCCUGACCAAAUUGGAUCUUGUUGAAGUUUGCAAACAACAUCUUUUAACGACAUACUAGGUUGAAGUUUGCAAACAACAUCUUUUUACAACAUACUAGUAUUUUCUUAAAUUCAUGUUGUUAGAUGCUAGAUGAAUUUAAGAAAAACAAGCAAAUAAAACAACACUAGUUUCAA